GUAUAACAAUUUCAUUCGUUUUCUUCCUUCAUAUUACAAUGGAGUAUGCGAAGAGAAUAUAGAUCCAAGGAAAGCCCCACAAAUUUAUCGCAAAGCAGUCCCAAUCGUCCGAGAGGCUCGGACACGUGACCUACACAAGUGGUGCACAAAGAGAUGGAGAAAUAAGGGGACAACGAGCGUGCACGGCCGAGGCCAGCGACAGCUCAUCGCUUCUAUUUCAAUAAUGAUCCUUCCGCAGGUUCACCUACGGAAA
rnacentral:misc_RNA from 1 species